AUUGAACGCUGGCGGCAGGCCUAACACAUGCAAGUCGAACGAGUGGCGGACGGGUGAGUAAUGUCUGGGAAACUGCCUGAUGGAGGGGGCUCACUACUGGAAACGGUAGCUAAUACAGCAUACCAUCAGAUGUGCCCAGAUGGGAUUAGCUAGUUGGUGGGGUAACGGCUCACCAAGGCGACGAUCCCUAGCUGGUCUGAGAGGAUGACCAGCCGCACUGGGACUUAGACACGGUCCGGACUCCUACGGGAGGCAGCAGUGGGGAAUAUUGCCCAAUCGGCGCAAGCCUGAUGCAGCCAUGCCGCGUGUAUGAAUAAGGCCUUCGGGUUUUAAAGUACUUUCAGCGGGGAGGCGUUACCCGCCGAAGAAGCACCGGCUAACUCCGUGCCAGCAGCCGCGGUAAUAC
rnacentral:rRNA from 1 species